AGGAAACACUUCGGAAACGUUUCUUCACAGCGAGAGUGGUGAGGCGGCUCUUGGCUCAGUGACCUGUUUUGGCAGCGUAACAUAUGGGACAAGAGCUCAUAUCAAAUGGAUUUAACUAUGUGUGGCACAAAAAGCCCUUCUCUCACCCCGGAUGAAUCAAUAGCUGUAAUAGGAGAGGCUCAGGGCAGUGCUGGUCUGUCAGCAUUCCUCUGCUUUUUGAGCUAUCUGAGCUGAGCCUCUCUGUGGUUUGAGGUCUGUGGAUUUGGGAAGAAAAUAGAGGAAAAAAAGAAGCAAAGUGAAUUUCACCCUUGAAAGACAUAGAAAUGAAUAUGUGAGGAAGCACAGAUGCUUUCCUGUUUGGAAAUGACAUUUAUCAAAUCAGGAGUACGCAAAGUACACCUGCAAGUAGGGAUGUCCGGGUGACUGCAGUGCCACUGAGUACCCUUCUGGUCUUCCUUCCCUCUUCUUGGUCCUACUCAUCAUGCACAGUGCACACACCUGCAGAUGAUAUCUAAGACACUGGGACAAAAACCAUCAACGUGAGAUGCGAGUUGUACCCUACAAACCAUGCCAGGAGAAACAGCUUUGCCCCAAGAAGCAGCCACUGAACCAGCCAAGGCAGGUGUGAAGACCAUGAAAACAUACCCAAACCCUGCUAAAUUAGAAGAGAUUCUUGCUUGUAUUGAGGAGCUGGCACUGGUCCCCUCCUGCUUUUAGCCCCCAGCACAGACCACACACAGGCUCUGCAGUUCCAGUUGCCCGGAGGACAUCAGGAAACAUGGAGAUGUGACACUGAGGAACAGUGGGCAUUGUGGGGAUGGGUCGACGGUUUGACUUGAUGAUCUUACAGGUCUUUUCUAACUUCAAGAUUUUAUAACUCUAUGAUCUGCCAUCAGGAUGCUCCCAGAGGCUGAAGGAAGGCAACGGCUGCAUCUCUGCAUCACUUUUACCAAAGCUGCUGGGGUGGGAUACCCACUGAUGUGGUCGGUGGGCAUCUGGUGGCACAGGCACACCAUCUCACCCAGAGAGAUGUAUAUGUUCCAUUUGGAGGCUUGCUUCUCAGAUUUCAUAGCCCAGCUCUAUAAAUCAAAGCAGCAUAAGGAACCCCAGGCAUCAUCAAGAUUAGUAGUUGGUGUAUCUGUCAGAAUCUUGUUUUGAUUCAUCUAAAGCUGUGCAAGAAUUGG
ensembl:lncRNA